rnacentral:rRNA from 1 species
AGGCUUAACACAUGCAAGUCGAGGGGCAGCAUAAAAGUAGCAAUACUUGGUGGCGACCGGCGCGACGGGUGAGUAACGCGUAUGCAACCUACCUAUCAGAGGGGAAUAACCCGGCGAAAGUCGGACUAAUACCGCAUAAAACAGGGGCACCGCAUGGUGAUAUUUGUUAAAGAAAUUCGCUGAUAGAUGGGCAUGCGUUCCAUUAGGUAGUUGGUGAGGUAACGGCUCACCAAGCCGACGAUGGAUAGGGGAACUGAGAGGUUGGUCCCCCACACUGGUACUGAGACACGGACCAGACUCCUACGGGAGGCAGCAGUGAGGAAUAUUGGUCAAUGGGCGAGAGCCUGAACCAGCCAAGUCGCGUGAAGGAAGAAGGAUCUAUGGUUCGUAAACUUCUUUUGCAGGGGAAUAAAGUGCAGGACGUGUCCUGUUUUGUAUGUACCCUGAGAAUAAGGAUCGGCUAACUCCGUGCCAGCCGCUGC